rnacentral:rRNA from 1 species
UACCAGCACCCCGAGUGGUCGGGACGAUUAUUGGGCCUAAAGCAUCCGUAGCCGGUCCUACAAGUCUUCCGUUAAAUCCACCUGCUUAACAGAUGGGCUGCGGAAGAUACUAUAGGGCUAGGAGGCGGGAGAGGCAAGCGGUACUCAGUGCGUAGGGGUAAAAUCCUCUGAUCCAUUGAAGACCACCAGUGGCGAAGGCGGCUUGCCAGAACGCGCUCGACGGUGAGGGAUGAAAGCUGGGGGAGCAAACCGG